UUCGCGGCCUUAUAGAUCCUUGUGGAGGAAGCUCGAGCAAGCGAGAAGGAGCGCGCGUCUAUUGCUGGUGGACACGCCACUAUAUUUCUCUUUAGAUCGUCUCUCAAACAUUCAAGAUUGCAGACAUGAGCUAUGGUCGGGGCCCCCCCGAUAUCAAGGGGAUGACGUCGCUCAAGGUGGACAAUCUCACCUACAGAACGACGCCAGAAGAUCUUCGGCGUUCCUUCGAGAAAUAUGGCGAGAUCGGGGACGUGUACAUCCCGCGAGACAGGUUUUCUCGCGAGAGCAGAGGCUUCGCCUUCGUGAGAUACUAUGAUCGCCGAGAUGCAGAAGAUGCAAUGGAAGCAAUGGAUGGCCGACGUCUUGAUGGUCGAGAGCUGAGAGUGCAGAUGGCCCGCUACGGCCGUCCAGAAACCCCUCCACACCGAAGACGCCGCCGACGGUACUCGGACAAUUCCAGGUCGAGGUCGAGGUCGCGCUCCCGUUCAAGGUCACGCAGGAGAAGCCGCAGGUCACGAUCACGAUCACGUUCAAGGUCACGCUCCCGCAGGAGGCACUCAAGAUCAAGGUCUGGCAGCCACUCACGCUCCCGCUCGCGUUCAAGGUCACACUCUGGAAGCAAGAGCCGUUCCCGCAGCCCCGAAGAACGUGAAUCGAAGUCCCCAGAAAAGCAAGAUAAGGAGAACGGAAUGGAUGAGGCAGCUGCUAUGGAGGAAGAGCAAAUGGACCGAUCUCAUUCACGUUCUAAGUCCCGGUCACGUUCAAGAUCUCGGUCUAAGUCUAGGUCAAGAUCUAAGUCGCGUAGCAAGUCCAGGUCCAGGUCACGCUCAAGGUCUGUGGAGUGAGAUGCACUGAACUGGAUGUUGGCAUCCUAUCAUCAACAAUCAACUAAAUCACUGCAUCACAAGAAGACUUCUCAAUUCCUGUCCAGAUUUUUGCAGUACUGGCAUGCUGGGCAGGGCGUGGCAGUUGUUGCUGUUGCUGUUGUGUUGCUGUGGAGUAUGGCGGGUUGCUGUAGUGCGGUGUUAUGGCGGGAGCCGAGGCAGAGCCAGUCAGGCAUGCAGCCGACGGGGGGGCCGCAAGGCACAGUACGGGCACGCAGGGCACCAAACCACUCCACCUUACUCAUUAACAACCUGUCAUUAUCCCAUACUGUCCUGCUUCACUCUUUAUUUUAUUUUGAUUGUUUUCUUUCUCAUGUUGAGUCUCCCUUGUACAUUUACUCCCUACAAAUUUUUUUUAGUUUCACUUGCCUCCCUCGGAGUGCAGUUCAAUAGAAAACUGUCACAUUAAUGACCUCAACAUUCCUCAGAAAAAUACCUUCUUUACCAGUCAUGUUGCAAUGAUUGGUACUGUUAGUAACAAGUGUACUAACUGAUUUAUCCUGUCCUGAGUGCUGACACUGUGGUGCCCUGUGAUGCUGUGGAGGCGACUGGCAGCUGUGUGCGGGCACCUGAGAGUGGUGACUCGCUGCAGCUGUGGUAACCCUUGCAACGCUAGUGAUGAAGGGUGGGAGGGUUAUAAAAACACUGGCUUUCACAGGUCAUUGAACAAAAGUUUAAUCGAAAGUAGUCGUCUUAUUACUGUGAUUAUUAUUAUUUUCAUUAUUAUUAUUACUAUUACUAUUACAUGAUGAAUGCGAUAGUAGUAGUGGUGAUGAUGGUUAAUAACAGUAAUCCAUUUUAUUUAUGUCCUUUUUUAUCAGCGCAGUUAUUUUCAUGUUGGAAGUAUAUUAAUUUUUUUCAUUAUUUAUUUUCUCAUUUGGUUAAGCUGUAUUCGUUUUCAAAUUUUUCAUAAUACAUUUUUUUCUCUCCACUUGUACUCUUUACUAGCUGAUCCUUGGAUUAGGUCUCUGCCUAAUGCAAUGAUUAUAGCAAAGAUCCGUGGUGAAUUAAGCAUACAUUUAUUUUAUAUUUAUUUAUUUACUUACAUUUAUUUUGAUAUUUAUUUUCUUGGUUAUUUUUAUUUUUUAUAAUUGUAAAUAUUCACUUUCAGGUUUGGUUUCGUGUUUACAUGAAACCUUUUGUGACUGGGUUACUUAUAGUUGGGAUGUUUGGAUGCCUAAUUAGUAGGCAUAAUACAUUAUUGUACAAGCCUGCUGUUUGAAAUUUAGGAUUUUAACUUUCUUUUUCAGGUGAUAAAAAUUGUGAAAGAACUUUUGAUAACCACCCUUCAUGAGGUAUACAAAAGAAAUUUGUUAUAUUCUAGCUUUUAAAGAUUUAUUGGAUAAAAGUAGAUUUGACUUUCGAUUUUGCAGAUUGCAUGGGUACUGCUAUGGAUGCAAAACAAACUUCCCUCUACUCUAUAAUUUUGAAUUGCAAAAUUUGCAAAACUAUCCUACAGAUCAGGGCGCACACAUGUUCAUGAACUCAAUGUGGUAACAAGUUGAUUAUUAUUUUUAUUAUCGUGAUUAUCAUGAAUGAUUAAAUAUUGAUGAUUAUCAUCUGUGGAAGAUAAGGAGUAUAAUUUUGCUUCAAUUUGCUUUCGUUCAGUGAUUUUUAGACUGAAUAAUGUGGGGGUAUGCUGACAAGUCACUAAAGUACAGCACUUGAAAUUUAAGAAAAUCAAAGAAGUAAAGAUAUUCAAUUCAAUUUUCUCAUAGAAACAUGAAAGCUUUAUCAUUUAUUAAAAGAAAAUUUAGUUGUGCAGUGUCAUUUGAUCAUGAGAAGUGUCUGUCAAAAUUAUUCUCAAAAUACAUAUUACACCCCUUUACUAUAAGCUGUAUGAGAUUAUUUUGAUCAAAAUAAAUAUAACUGUCACAUAAUUGAAGUUUGCAGUAUCAAUUUCGUUGUCAAAGGACCAUUACAGACAAAGAAUUUCCAUAAACGAUCCCCCCCCCCCCUCAAAUAUAUAACCACUUUCGUAUGAACUUAGUAUAAGGAUGAAAAGGCUGCAUUUGUGGGUUUCAAAUAUUUUGAGGUAAGUACAUAGAAUCCUUAAUAAACAGUUGCUUACA